GCCCGUGAACUUAGCUGAUACCA
rnacentral:miRNA from 1 species